UCCUACGGGAGGCAGCAGUAGGGAAUCUUCCGCAAUGGACGAAAGUCUGACGGAGCAACGCCGCGUGAGUGAUGAAGGCUUUCGGGUCGUAAAACUCUGUUGUUAGGGAAGAACAAGUGCUAGUUGAGUAAGCUGGCACCUUGACGGUACCUAACCAGAAAGCCACGGCUAACUACGUGCCAGCAGCCGCGG
rnacentral:rRNA from 1 species